AUUCAGUACCAAUAGCAGGUCAUUUCUUCAGAAAAUCAUUUGGACUGGGUAGUUCCCUAGCAACAAAGGCCAUAGCAACACCAAAGAAGACAUCAGUAAGGGUGAAGAUUCUUAAGAGUAGUGUCUCUGUCACUCCUGCUGUUGAAAAAAUCUCCAUGAUCUUCUUUGAGAAAAAGGACCUUCACCUAACUCAAUGUGGUCUGAAGUGCCUACAAAAACUUUGAUUCCUACUUUUUUUUUCAUCAUUUAAAUCUUGAAUGGGAACACAUACGGAAGUGAACAUAAUUGUGACUUGACACUUUUAAUUUUAAUUGGAAUGCUAGAUGAAAAACUAAUCAAGGAAAUCCAGGAGGCUUCUCCCAUUUCUGAAGAACUAUCUAGAGAUGUUUGGAACCACAGUUGCUUUUGAUCUGUGCCAUUUUGAGCCUUCUUUGAUGAAUGAUGUCAAAUGUCUUUUUUCUUUCACUCCCUUUGAAGAACCAUGCCAUUAUUCAUCAAAGCCCAAUUCAACCCUGAUGUUUUAUUCCAAUAUGUGUGCCAAGAAGAGAUCUGGAUGUUGGAUAAGUGCCUCUCUUUAUUCUAAGUGUGGGAGGGGAUUUAAAUUAUCUUGAAAAAGAGCUCCACAACUUUUCUACAUUUGGGGAAGCCUCGGCAAUGAGCAAUUACCAGUAAUUUUUUUGCUAUAUAUCCUAAAACAUUCAGUUUCAUAGCAUUAAUGCAAUCGACUGUAAGGUGCAAUUUUACUCAUAAUUUAAGAAAAAUGCCAAGGAAUGACAGAGUUAUUUUGUAAAAACUCUCCUCCCAUUCAUGUGGGGAUACUUCAUUUGUUUGGAAAGAACAUAUGUCUUUGAUGUAAGUCAUGAUAGUACAUCUUUAAUGACAGUUUUCAUGAUGAUGCUUUUGGCUCAACCCAUAGACUAAUCCAGCGAUGAAAGUUACAGCUAUCAUGUUUAUGUCUUCUGCUUUUAAUGAGACUCAUGUGUCCAGAAAUGCUAUCUCUGAAAUAUUCAUUGGGUCUUAAGAAACAUUUGGAAAUAUUUCAUUGAGGAACAGCAGUCUUGCUGUCCUCUUCUAUUUACCUCAUCUGAUGUUACUAUUAGAGUAUCUCACCUUUCAAUAAUUAUGGUCAGAUGUGUCAUGUUUUUCAUUUCCUCUGAGUUCAGUAGCCAUGUUUUACCAUGGAUUGGGAACCUGGAAAACCAUCUCAGUUAGCUUUUUGUGACAUUCAAGAAAAGUAUUUAUUCUAAUCUAUUCUCAAACUACAAAUAGGCUUUUCCCUCUCCCCUCACCCAAUUGUGGAUGAAGCAAGCUCACUUGGAUGGAAUUGCUUGCUCUCUUCCUUCUCAUUCAAGAAACCUUCUGAAACUUCAUUUCUUCAUUGUGGUGGAACAACUCCAAUUUCCUGGAUAUUAUAAAUUCAACCCCAGGCCUGGCGCAGUGGCUCACGCCUGUAAUCACAGCACUUUGGGAGGCCAAGGCAGGUGGAUCAUGAGGUCAAGAGAUCGAAACAAUCCUGGCCAACAUGGUGAAACCACGUUCCUGCUAAAAAUACAAAAAUUAGCUGGGCUUGGUGGUGUGAGCCUGUAGUCCCAGCUACUCGAGAGGCUGAGGCUGGAGAAUCGCUUGAACCUGGGAGGCAGAGGUUGCAGUGAGCUGAGAUCGCACCAUUGCACUCCAGCCUGGCGACUGAGCGGGACUCCGUCUCAAAAAAAAAAAAAAAAAACAAAACAAAAAAAGAAAGAAAUGUAACUCCAGCCUCUGAUGAAAAACGUAAGUUCUUACUAGAAUAAAAUUAACAAUUUCAAUUAGUUUUCUUCACUGGAUUCAACAUCUCUAGCUAGCAACAUAACUUUAACUAAUUUAACCAGUCAUUGUUAAAUAUGAGUUAUUAAUAUACUUAAAUUUUUAUGCAAGUCUUAUUUGCUCUUCACAAUAAAAUGACUUUUUUGUGUGUGCUAUAUCUUUGGUUCUGAUUUUCUGG